rnacentral:tRNA from 1 species
UUAUCUAUAGUAUUCUAAGUACAUAUCACUUACAAUGAUAAAGCCUAAUUUUUAGUAGAUAGU